rnacentral:lncRNA from 1 species
GCCCGCUCGUCUUAGUGGCCAGCCCGUCCCCUCCUCUCCGUCCGCUGCCGUCGCCUCUGCCGCGGUCGCCGGGAGGAAGGUGGUGCCGCUGCCGCCAUUCCUCGACUGACUGGAAGAUCCUUGCUGGCACAUUUCUGAAUAUUCUGGUGAACCUUGUUAAGAAUUCAGAGAAACUGUCACGUGACAAAGAAAGAUCCAAUCCUAAGGCUUACGUGAGUAUUUUCUACUGUGGACUUCUUCACAAUAUGUGAAACCUUGAAUUUGGUCAUAUUCAGUUCUGUGAUCAAGAUGAAAAAUAUGACCUAUUGUUAGACUUUGCUGCUGCUGCUGCUGCGUCGCUUCAGUCGUGUCC